rnacentral:rRNA from 1 species
UACGUAGGGGGCGAGCGUUGUCCGAAGUUACUGGGCGUAAAGCGCGCGUAGGCGGGGGAUUAAGUGAGAGGUGAAAGCCCGGGGCUCAACCCCGGAAUUGCCUUUAAGACUGCAUCGCUUGAAUCCGGGAGAGGUGAGUGGAAUUCCGAGUGUAGAGGUGAAAUUCGUAGAUAUUCGGAAGAACACCAGUGGCGAAGGCGGCUCACUGGACCGGUAUUGACGCUGAGGUGCGAAAGCGUGGGGAGCAAACAGG